UCUUUGGAGACAUCUUUGAGGAAAUAUAUAGAUAUGUAUAUUUUUUUUCCGACGAGCUUCAACUUGCCGCAGAGAUGUUAUACAGUCUACAUAAAAUGUAAAUGUACACGUCGAGCACUUAUUUGUGAUAGUCAGUAAAUCCCUGGAGAUGGUGUAAUUAACCGAUUUCCAUUUUAAUGCCACUGGACGUAUAUAUAUAUAUAUCUAUGCUAUUGCAUUAGGAAUGCUGAGAAAACCAUAGAUAAUAGUUGCGCGCAGAACGUCGCCGUUACUAAUCAGCGGUAGUUACACUUGCUUCUAAUUACGAGAGUACAAGAGUCACACGCAGAGAUGGCAGGUUAUUGAAUAAAUCGAAUGAUGAGGUAAUCGAGAAUGAUGGUCCAAAAAGGGAAGUGCCGCGUAAGUGCGCGGCGAUUUGUCCGGAUCAGCGUCAGGUUGUAAGCAGAUUACAUAUCCAGUCCCCAAACGAAGUAGCAAAACCCCCCAAAGGUUUCCCGCGGUGGCAACUGGGAUUUGAUGGAGGUUACUCUAUGAGUUUGCUGUCCAUAUUCUCGAGAGGUCUCUUAUAUAUAUAUAUUUCUAUAUAGAAAGAUACUUUAUAAAGAGGAGAUGCCACUGUAUGAUUGACCGAUCCUUCCUGGUGUCCCAUACACAUUUGCCGCCGCCACCGCAGCUUCUGCAGAGCAAAAGUCAACUUUUAAUACCUCGACACAACGCCACGAGACGAAAAAAAGGAAGAAGAAGUAAAAAAAAGAAAAAGGUUCCUUGCCAUAAUCAUUAUUCGAAUUGGAUCAUAAUAUCAGAGAGAGGUCAUGAAAAUCGAUUCCUGAUGAGUUUCUCGUCGACGCGCAGUUUUUACUUAUUGCGAUUAUUGAUCGCAACUCGGUAUAUGCGUGAAAAAUCUGGAUUGAAGACAAAAAGCAAAGUUUAGAGGAGAUAAAUAGUGACGAGAUAUAAAUAUUGUUUUUCAUUCCUGAGUAAUUCACCAUGGAGAAUCACUUGUUUUGACAGAUCGCAGUCUUUUUAAAUCACAGGAGAUUAAACUGUUUAUAUGGUCAAAAGAAGAAAAAAAAAAAAGUAUGCGCUGCAAAUUACGCGCGCACCCGACGACUCUUUAAUCCAUGAUUUACGAGCGAGUGAAAGUGCGUUGGGGACUUGAAAGUCAGGAAAAACAUUAGAUCCCUGAUUUCGAUCCCCGUGGAGAAUUAAACUAUAUACACCGUUUUGGAGGGUUGUAAAAUCCACCCCCUUGUGACUUGACUCAUGCCGCACAACUAUAAAUGCGUGUGGAUCCAACAUACUUUCUGCACGCCUCGUCUAUCUCCUUAACUCCACAAAACCACCUACAAAUUUUCACAUACCAAGAUGAUUUUACAGUUUACAUAUAUAAACAACUAUAUGUAUAUACAUAUAUAUAUAUAUAUACUUGUAUUAUUAGUUUGAAGGCAAAGGAUAUAUACGCUUUUUGAAAAUUCAUGCUCGAAACCACGGGAGCGCCGAGAGAGAGAGAGAUAAAGAGAGAGAGAAAUUAUUAAUGUAUGCAGAGUUUCUGCCUGCCACGCUCGUCAGUCGAGGAGAGUUGAAAUCUGGCCAGGACCUCCUAAGCAUACAUCUGAUCCUUGGCACUAUGCUGAUCCGUGAAACAUCUUGUUAGGAUAAAAGGAGGCCUUAUACCUCGUGGCUCAAAUAAACCCCCUUCGAUAUAUAAUUUCUUUUCUUUUUUCAAUUCUUUGAUCCAUAUGAAUUUUAAACGGGUCAGAAAAUAUUUGCUGAAUAAUCCGUCGUCGUCGUCUGUGAGAAGAAAUUGACACGGGGUGACUAAUUUGGUAUGUUGAAUUUAAUGGAGGCUCUUUGGAAACAAAACACUUUAUGGAACUCUUUCGAUAGAAAUUAUCAUGCUGAUGGAAUUUCGAAGAGGAAUGCUGAUUCUUCUGAUGGGAUGAAGGCGUUUAUUGAGAUCGCAAUAAGCUUUAUAUAUAUGUGAAGAAGAUGCCUAAUACUAUAAUCAAAUGGUUCGCGAUCAUAAAUAGUCUCGGCCAAUCAGAUAAGGAGUUCAGGAUUUGGCGCACCAAUUAAACAAUCUCUCUAGUUAAAGAAAUAUGAGUGAUGAGAUUAUUAUAUUCUUAGAAAGAGUCUCCAAUGGUUUAUGAGUUCGUCGUCUCAUAUAUAUAUAAAUAUAAAAAAAAACACCUUUCAGUUUUGUGUUCGUAAAAAAAAAAAACACAUUUUUUUUUUCUCUCCAAAGCACACUGUCGAAUUCUUUCCAAAUUAACGAGCUUCUCGCCACCAUAGUAAAUUUUUUCGACACAGCUAUAAUUCAUAUUCACAUAACAACCUUGAAAUAAAUAUUACACUGCUACCGAGAUGAAAAUAAUAAUAAUAAUAUCGAGAUUUACGAUGAAUCUACUUAUAAAUAUAUAAAUAUCGAAUAGAUUAUUAUUUCUUCAUGAAUAUGUGAUUAUGAUUAGGAACAAGAUUUGGAAGUUGGAAAAUUUUAUAAGAAUUUUUUUGCUGAAAAAAAGAGUGAUUAAAAAGUCACGGGAAAAUGUUUUUGAAAAAAAUUUUCUAAGAAUUUGUCUACACAUAUAUAUAUAAAUAUUGGCGAAGGAGAAAUUCCAGCAGGUGUCCCUCCUCAUCUUGAAAUGAAAAGAUAAAAAUCUUUUUUGAGGCAGCAUUUAUCUUGUUGAAAUCAAGCCACACCCGUUUGUCCACGAAUCAGUCAAACUGAAGGGAUGACCCUGUGUCAUGUGAGAAAGGAGACGAUUAAUCAAAUCUACAAGAUUUUAUAAUACCAAAGUCGUCGAUUGCGAUAGUAGCGCGAUAUUGCUGAUCGAUUCUACAGUUGACGUGGGAAUGACUGAGAAUGAUCCGAAUUCGAUUUCAUAUGCUUUUAUUUCCAAUACAACCUGCAAGAGGCGACUGGUGCGCUAUUCACGUGAAUAUAUAAUCAAAAUCUAAUUUUUGAUCGAUCAAAAAAUUGAUUAUUUAGCUGAAUUCUCACAGGAUAUGAGGAGAUGAACGAAACGAGAGGGGAGUGUGCGCGGAGCUUAUAACAAAUUUAAGCUGACAUACACGGUCUCUCUACGGAUGUCCAUUUCGAAAAUCAAUUUGCGCGAGAGUUACGAGUACGUUUUAACGUUGAAAAGCAGCGGCGAGCCUCAGCGCGUAUAAUACGCAAAAGGAGAUUAACCCGUGAAAUAAAUUCCAGGUGCUUUAAAAAAAAAAAAAAAAGAAUUUCUCAAAUUUACUCUCUCAAGGAAAUUUACAUAGAGUUUACGAGAAUGAUGACUAUGGAUUUUGGAGUUUUAAAUGUCUGCGGAUUAUCGUGGAAAAAUUAUGAUCCGAAUGGCGCUAUAUUCGAUAAAAGAGACGAAAAUUUUGCUGAAGAGAAAAAAGAAAUAUAUAAUAUAUAUUUCGAAGACUAAUCCAUUGCGAGUGAUUCGUUGCAAGUCAAAAGACAAGUCAAACGAAUUCCUGCUGGGCGCAGAUCAAAAGGGACCCCAUAUAACGACCGUGCGAUAAAUGAUCGUAUUAAACGCUAAACAUCUUAUACAUAUAUAUAUAUAAAUGCUUCAAGAAGAGGAAAGACAAGAUUCCAUCAAUCUUCAGCAAGUGCCGAUUAUUUCAAUUUGAAAAGUCAAUUUGUCGGUGGCCGCACGCGAUUAGGAAGCAGUAAAUCUGUAUUUUCUCUCUCUCUCUCUUUCUAAAGAGAUUGUUCUCUUUGCAAAAGGGCGCCAUGUGACGUUCAGUAGCGCUUUUAUAUGGGUCAUUUUAAAGGAGGGGAAAAGAUGAAGAGAGGAAGGUUUUGAUUCAAAUUGUGGAGCAAUUUCUCGACGGUAACGUGAGGAAGAUUUGAAGUAUAUUCUCAUCGAAGAUCGAAAAGUCAACUCUCUUACUCACCGCUGCGUACAUAUAUAAAAACCCAAUAUCGUGACUUGCAUCUGCAGCUAAAAUCAGUUUCGCCUGUUUCAUUAAGGACAAAAUGUUACGAUUCACGCAAUUUAAAAAAAGGUUGCCUUUGCGUUGAGAGACAAAAGAAAAAAAAAAUGUGUGAUUUUUGGUCGCGUGAUCUUGGAGAGAAAAAGAGAGAGAGAGAGAGAGGAACACCCGUAACCAGGAGAAAGGAUCAUCACCGCAGGCGACUAAAAUCUUCUGCAGGUCGAUGGUAUCUGCAGCCAACCGACACAUAUAUCGCACCAUUAUUCAAAGUUGGAUUGUAUAAACACACAUGAUGGUGGUGUGAUCUGGGCGAGUGCGCGGCCGCCCAUCGUGCGUGGGAUAUACCGUCUAAAAAUGAGUUGUGUCAACGUGUGACCGACCCCCCGCGCCGACGUCUCCAGGUGGGCCCCACAGAUGGAAAUUGCGUCGAUUCGAGAUGAUUAGCGAUAAUCCAAUGGAAUGAAGCACGUCUUUGGAUGUUUCGUGACUGCCGAGGAUGCCAUGAAUUUUCUCCUAUCUUUGUCUUGCAUUGGACCAUUUGAUAUACGUGGACUGUGAUUUUGAUUUAUGAAGGUGCAACUGUUGUUCGUCGACGUUUCUUUUUCUUUUGCUGUUCUUCCGCUGCACUAUCAAAACUUUCAGCAGCUACAAGA